rnacentral:rRNA from 1 species
AGUCAUAGUACGUGAACCGUUCAGGGGUAAACGGGAGGGAUCCGGAAGGUCGAAAGGGGAGACUCAACCCGUCCCGCUCGUCGGCACUCUGUCGCGAACUAUUCCGGAUGAGUACGGCGGCCGGCUACACCGCAAGGUGCUAGACCGGUUACGUCGUAGGCACCGGCCGGUGGGGUGUCUGGCGGCGGUGGGGUGCACUUCUCCUCCUGUAGGACGUCGCGACCCGUUGGAUUGGGGUCUAAGGCCCGGGAUGGAGCCCGUGGGGAUCGCCGAGUAAUCUCGGGUUCACGUUCCCCCGGACCCCGGUCGCCCGGCCCCAGUUCGACGGUAGCAAUCGAGGAGAUGGCCCGCUCAUGCGAGCGUCCGGCCCAGGGGCAAGCUCCACGGGUUUGCGCGUGGUGCCGCGGCUAACGCCGCGUCCCCGCCGCCCGCGGGCUGCUGGUCCCCGGAGUCCUCGGACAGCUUUGGCCGUUCUCCCGUCUGCGGCGCUUUUGCUUCGGAUGCCUUCCCGACCCGUCUUGAAACCG